GGUCAGCGACUUAUAUUCUGUAGCAAGGUUAACCGUAUAGGGGAGCCGGAGGGAAACCGAGUCUUAACCGGGCGUUAAGUUGCAGGGUAUAGACCCGAAACCCGGUGAUCUAGCCAUGGGCAGGUUGAAGGUUGGGUAACACUAACUGGAGGACCGAACCGACUAAUGUUGAAAAAUUAGCGGAUGACCUGUGGCUGGGGGUGAAAGGCCAAUCAAACCGGGAGAUAGCUGGUUCUCCCCGAAAGCUAUUUAGGUAGCGCCUCGUGAAUUCAUCUCCGGGGGUAGAGCACUGUUUCGGCUAGGGGGCCAUCCCGGCUUACCAACCCGAUGCAAACUGCGAAUACCGGAGAAUGUUAUCACGGGAGACACACGGCGGGUGCUAACGUCCGUCGUGAAGAGGGAAACAACCCAGACCGCCAGCUAAGGUCCCAAAGUCAUGGUUAAGUGGGAAACGAUGUGGGAAGGCCCAGACAGCCAGGAUGUUGGCUUAGAAGCAGCCAUCAUUUAAAGAAAGCGUAAUAGCUCACUGGUCGAGUCGGCCUGCGCGGAAGAUGUAACGGGGCUAAACCAUGCACCGAAGCUGCGGCAGCGAACGUAUCACCCAAGACAACUUUACGGAGUUGACGAUUGACGGAGCGAAGCGACGUCAAAGCGUUCAUUAAAGUCGAGUUGGCUUAGGGAUACGUUCGUUGGGUAGGGGAGCGUUCUGUAAGCCUGUGAAGGUGUGUCGUGAGGCAUGCUGGAGGUAUCAGAAGUGCGAAUGCUGACAUAAGUAACGAUAAAGCGGGUGAAAAGCCCGCUCGCCGGAAGACCAAGGGUUCCUGUCCAACGUUAAUCGGGGCAGGGUGAGUCGACCCCUAAGGCGAGGCCGAAAGGCGUAGUCGAUGGGAAACGGGUUAAUAUUCCCGUACUUGGUGUUACUGCGAAGGGGGGACGGAGAAGGCUAUGUUGGCCGGGCGACGGUUGUCCCGGUUUAAGCGUGUAGGUGUGUGUUCCAGGUAAAUCCGGUUCACUUUAACACUGAGGCGUGACGACGAGGCACUACGGUGCUGA
rnacentral:rRNA from 1 species